rnacentral:snRNA from 1 species
AUAUGUGUUCUUAUCCCUGGCUGCAACAUCUGUCACCCCACUGAUCACCAGGGUUGAUUCGGCUGAUCUGGCUAGCUAGGCAGGUGUCCCCCCCCCCCUCACCGAUCCAUGUGCAUCCCUGCCGAAGCUGCGCACUCAGUCGAAGAGGAUGACCUUCCCCCCAGAGGAGAGGACCAGUCUUAGGUCAAGGGUAUACGAGUAGCUGAGCUCCCCUCCUAGAACCUCCAAACAAGCUCUCAAAGAGUACUUUAAAGAAGGGAUUGGAUAUUAUCCAUUGUUAAUUUUUAAAAGACAUUUAAAAUCUUU